rnacentral:rRNA from 1 species
UACGUAGGAGACGAGCGUUGUCCGGAAUUACUGGGCGUAAAGCGCGUGUAGGCGGAUGGGCAAGUCUGCUGUGAAAGCUCCUGGCUUAACCGGGAGUGGUCGGUGGAAACUGCCAAUCUGGAGGACGGUAGAGGUAGGUAGAAUUCCCGGUGUAGUGGUGAAAUGCGUAGAGAUCGGGAGGAAUACCUGUGGCGAAGGCGGCCUACUGGGCCGGACCUGACGCUGAGACGCGAAGGCGUGGGGAUCAAACAGG